rnacentral:rRNA from 1 species
GAUGAACGCUGGCGGCGUGCCUAAUACAUGCAAGUCGAACGCUGGAGAUCUAGCUUGCUAGAUCGAAGGAGUGGCGAACGGGUGAGUAAUACAUAAGCAACCUACCCACGAAGACUGGGAUAAUCUCUGGAAACGGGGACUAAUACCGGAUAGGUAAUCGGAAGGCAUCUUCUGAUUAUUAAAGGUUAAAAACACUGGUGGAUGGGCUUAUGGCGCAUUAGCUAGUUGGUAAGGUAACGGCUUACCAAGGCAAUGAUGCAUAGCCGAGUUGAGAGACUGAUCGGCCACAUUGGGACUGAGACACGGCCCAAACUCCUACGGGAGGCAGCAGUAGGGAAUCUUCCACAAUGGACGCAAGUCUGAUGGAGCAACGCCGCGUGAGUGAAGAAGGGUUUCGGCUCGUAAAGCUCUGUUGGUAGUGAAGAAAGAUAGAGGUAGUAACUGGCCUUUAUUUGACGGUAAUUACUUAGAAAGUCACGGCUAACUACGUGCCAGCAGCCGCGGUAAUACGUAGGUGGCAAGCGUUGUCCGGAUUUAUUGGGCGUAAAGCGAGUGCAGGCGGUUCAAUAAGUCUGAUGUGAAAGCCUUCGGCUCAACCGGAGAAUUGCAUCAGAAACUGUUGAACUUGAGUGCAGAAGAGGAGAGUGGAACUCCAUGUGUAGCGGUGGAAUGCGUAGAUAUAUGGAAGAACACCAGUGGCGAAGGCGGCUCUCUGGUCUGCAACUGACGCUGAGGCUCGAAAGCAUGGGUAGCGAACAGG